GAUGAACGCUGGCGGCGUGCCUAAUACAUGCAAGUCGAGCGAACGGACGAGAAGCUUGCCUCUCUGAUGUUAGCGGCGGACGGGUGAGUAACACGUGGAUAACCUACCUAUAAGACUGGGAUAACUUCGGGAAACCGGAGCUAAUACCGGAUAAUAUUUUGAACCGCAUGGUUCAAAAGUGAAAGACGGUCUUGCUGUCACUUAUAGAUGGAUCCGCGCUGCAUUAGCUAGUUGGUAAGGUAACGGCUUACCAAGGCAACGAUGCAUAGCCGACCUGAGAGGGUGAUCGGCCACACUGGAACUGAGACACGGUCCAGACUCCUACGGGAGGCAGCAGUAGGGAAUCUUCCGCAAUGGGCGAAAGCCUGACGGAGCAACGCCGCGCGAGUGAUGAAGGUCUUCGGAUCGUAAAACUCUGUUAUUAGGGAAGAACAUAUGUGUAAGUAACUGUGCACAUCUUGACGGUACCUAAUCAGAAAGCCACGGCUAACUACGUG
rnacentral:rRNA from 1 species